rnacentral:ncRNA from 2 species
CGCGAAACCCCGGGGAGCCUAGCAAGGUCCUUCAAGGACCUUGGGCUGAGAGGUGUGGGUAUGCUCCACACGACCCGUCGAACCUGAACCCGUUAAUACGGGCGGAGGGAGUGGACGCGGCCCGAAG